GAGUGUGAGAGCGAGAACAGCCCCGCAGGUCCCGAGGCGCUGGCUGGGGACAAUGCCGCGGAAAGUUCCCAGUCCCCAGCCGCAGAUCUGCAGAAUUGAAAUGAAAUGUUUUGAGCUCUUCAAGCUGACUCGUCAGAAUCCUGGAGCCUUUUAAAAAAUGACGAAGUGCCCAAUGUGGAAAUCAUAGAUUUCAAGGAAGGAACAAGAAAAUUGAUGAAACAAGUUCAAAAGAAAGAAGCUUGGCCAAUUUGAUGUCAAUGGAAAUGCGUGAGAUUUUUAUUCAGCAUUCACACCUGAGCAAUGCUUUUGGUCAUGAUGUCAUACUAAGAAGAAACCACCUGAGAUGAGACUGUUAGAUGUUCAGAGCAAACAAAAACAAAAACAGACCAACAAAAAAAACCCAAAACAAAACAGAAGUUUCUGAAGGACAGCAGAAAUGGCUUUGCAGGACCACAACAACCACUCCCAGUCAUGAUGGAGAGAAGUGUUCAAUACCCACAGAUCCUGAACGUUGAGCUGAUUAUACUAACUAGAUGGGACUUAGUUUUGUCUACCGUGGGGUGAGCGUAUACUACCUGAGGGAACAGGUUCUCUAUGGUGAAGAUGGCAACUUGCUGACUCAGUCUCAGAAUGCGUUAAAUCCACAUAUUCUGGCAAGUGGAGUUCUGCUUCUCCAAUAUCUCUUCCAGACUAAGUCUCGAAAGGACAGUAAUUGAUCCACCCUGAGUCAUAUGCCCAUGUCCAAAGCAAUGAGUUUGGGAAAUUUCAUGACACACUCCUAAUUUUGUGGUAGGAG
rnacentral:lncRNA from 1 species